GCGCCUUGCCAGCCCGCUCAGAAACUUAAAGGAAUUGACGGGGGCCCGCACAAGCGGUGGAGUAUGUGGUUUAAUUCGAUGCAACGCGAAGAACCUUACCUGGUCUUGACAUCCCGGAGACCCUUAGGAAACUAGGGGGUGCUUCCAUCUGGAAGAAAUCCGGAGACAGGUGCUGCAUGGCUGUCGUCAGCUCGUGUCGUGAGGUGUUGGGUUAAAGUCCCGCAACGAGCGCAACCCUUGCCUUUAGUUGCCAGCAGUUCGGCUGGGCACUCUAAAGGGACUGCCGGUGUUAAACCGGAGGAAGGUGGGGAUGACGUCAAGUCCUCAUGGCCUUUAUGACCAGGGCUACACACGUACUACAAUGGCCGAUACAAAGGGCAGCGACACUGCGAGGUGAAGCCAAUCCCGUAAAAUCGGUCUCAGUCCGGAUUGGAGUCUGCAACUCGACUCCAUGAAGUUGGAAUCGCUAGUAAUCGUGGAUCAGCAUGCCACGGUGAAUACGUUCCCGGGCCUU
rnacentral:rRNA from 1 species